rnacentral:misc_RNA from 1 species
UACGGAGGGUGCAAGCGUUAAUCGGAAUUACUGGGCGUAAAGCGCGCGUAGGCGGCUUGGUCAGUGAGGUGUGAAAGCCCUGGGCUUAACCUGGGAACUGCAUCUCAUACUGCCAGGCUAGAGUAUGAUAGAGGGAAGUGGAAUUCCAGGUGUAGCGGUGAAAUGCGUAGAUAUCUGGAGGAACAUCAGUGGCGAAGGCGACUUCCUGGAUCAAUACUGACGCUGAGGUGCGAAAGCGUGGGGAGCAAACAGG